GUCAUAAUCACUUGAGAUCGUCCAUCAGAAGUGUUAACAUAGAUCUCUAUGCCGAUGAGGAUUUGGGCAACACACCUAUGAACGAAGAAGUGAAGGAGGAGAUUGUAGUUUACCUAUUCCAGUGAAGGGCAAGAUAGAGACUUUAAAUCAAGCAUUAGAUAUCUUUGGGAUGAAUGUGAUUGUGGAAGCAAGUUUUUUGUUAUGACCAAGCAAAAAUAACAUCACAUAUCAAGGAUCGUGAUCUCCGAUCCAGAAAUUUUGCCAACCAGUUAGAAGCC